rnacentral:rRNA from 1 species
AUUGAACGCUGGCGGCAGGCCUAACACAUGCAAGUCGAGCGGAUGAGUGGAGCUUGCUCCAUGAUUCAGCGGCGGACGGGUGAGUAAUGCCUAGGAAUCUGCCUGGUAGUGGGGGACAACGUUUCGAAAGGAACGCUAAUACCGCAUACGUCCUACGGGAGAAAGUGGGGGAUCUUCGGACCUCACGCUAUCAGAUGAGCCUAGGUCGGAUUAGCUAGUUGGUGAGGUAAAGGCUCACCAAGGCGACGAUCCGUAACUGGUCUGAGAGGAUGAUCGGUCACACUGGAACUGAGACACGGUCCAGACUCCUACGGGAGGCAGCAGUGGGGAAUAUUGGACAAUGGGCGAAAGCCUGAUCCAGCCAUGCCGCGUGUGUGAAGAAGGUCUUCGGAUUGUAAAGCACUUUAAGUUGGGAGGAAGGGCAGUAAGUUAAUACCUUGCUGUUUUGACGUUACCAACAGAAUAAGCACCGGCUAACUUCGUG